rnacentral:rRNA from 1 species
UACAGAGGUCUCAAGCGUUGUUCGGAAUCACUGGGCGUAAAGGGUGCGUAGGUGGCGUGGUAAGUCAGAUGUGAAAGCCCGGGGCUCAACCUCGGAAUUGCAUCCGAUACUACAAUGCUAGAGUACUGAAGGGGUGGCUAGAAUUCUCGGUGUAGCAGUGAAAUGCGUAGAGAUCGAGAGGAAUGCCAACGGCGAAGGCAGGUCACUGGGCAGUUACUGACACUGAGGCACGAAGGCGAGGGGAGCAAACGGG